CCCUAUGGGGUGCAGCAGGCCAUCGCGGACUUCGGUCACAUCGACGUGCUCAUCAAUGCGGCGGGCAUCACGCGCGACGGGUUCCUGACCAAGAUGGACGUGGCAGACUGGGACAAGGUCAUCGCCAUCAACCUGACCGGACCGUUCAACUGCACCAAGGCCGUGGCUCCUCACAUGAUGGAGCGCGGCACGGGAAACAUCAUCAAUGUGUCUUCGGUCGUGGGCGGGUAUGGGAAUAUCGGUCAAACCAACUACUCGGCAACCAAGGCGGGCCUUAUCGGUCUUACCAAGACUUGGGCGAAGGAAUUCGCCAAGAAGGGCAUGCGCGUGAACGCGAUUGCACCUGGGUUCAUCAAGACGCCGAUGACGGCCAAGAUGCCCGACAAGGUCGUGCAGAUGGUCGUCGACAAGACGCCGAUGGGCCGCAUGGGAGAGC
rnacentral:rRNA from 1 species